GGGGAGUACGUUCGCAAGAAUGAAACUCAAAUGAAUUGACGGGGGCCCGCACAAGCGGUGGAGCAUGUGGUUUAAUUCGAUGCAACGCGAAGAACCUUACCUACCCUUGACAUCCUCGGAAUCUGCCGGAGACGGCGGAGUGCCUUCGGGAGCCGAGUGACAGGUGCUGCAUGGCUGUCGUCAGCUCGUGUUGUGAAAUGUUGGGUUAAGUCCCGUAACGAGCGCAACCCCUGUCCCUAUUUGCCAGCGAUUCGGUCGGGAACUCUAGGGAGACUGCCGGUGACAAACCGGAGGAAGGUGGGGAUGACGUUUACCGACAGU
rnacentral:misc_RNA from 1 species